rnacentral:rRNA from 1 species
CAUGAAGCUGGAAUCGCUAGUAAUCGCGGAUCAGAAUGCCGCGGUGAAUACGUUCCCGGGUCUUGUACACACCGCCCGUCACACCAUGGGAGUCAGUAACGCCCGAAGUCAGUGACCCAACCUUAGGGAGGGAGCUGCCGAAGGCGGGACGGAUAACUGGGGUGAAGUCGUAACAAGGUAAC